GUGUCGGUAGCUGGAGUGAUGAAAGCACCGGCUUGAAGUACCGAGGAUCAUCAGUUCGAGUCUGGUACGACACC
rnacentral:tRNA from 1 species